CCUACGGGAGGCAGCAGUUUGGAAUUUUGGACAAUGGGCGAAAGCCUGAUCCAGCGACGCCGCGUGGACGAUGAAGGCCUUCGGGUCGUAAAGUCCUUUUGCUCGGGAACGCGUACCGAGAGAAUAAGAGGUUGCUAACUCUGUGCCAGCAGCAGCGGUAAUACAGAGACCUCAAGCGUUAUCCGGAAUCAUUGGGCGUAAAGCGUCCUAGGUGGUUUUACAAGUCAGAAGUGAAAUCUCUCAGCUUAACUGGGAGACUGCUUUUGAAACUGUAAAACUAGAGGGGCAAAGAGGAAGCUGGAACGAACGGUGUAGUAGUGAAAUGCGUUGAUAUCGUUCGGAACACCAAUAGCGUAGGCAAGCUUCUGGGUGCCCCUGACACUAGGACGAAAGCGUGGGGAGCGAAUGGGAUUAGAUACCCUUGUAGUC
rnacentral:rRNA from 1 species